AGAGCGAACGCUGGCGGCAGGCCUAACACAUGCAAGUCGAGCGCUCGUAGCAAUACGAGAGCGGCAGACGGGAGAGUAACACGUGGGAACGUACCCUUUGGUUCGGAACAACACAGGGAAACUUGUGCUAAUACCGAAUAAGCCCUUACGGGGAAAGAUUUAUCGCCAAAGGAUCGGCCCGCGUCUGAUUAGCUAGUUGGUGGGGUAAUGGCUCACCAAGGCGACGAUCAGUAGCUGGUCUGAGAGGAUGACCAGCCUCAUUGGGACUGAGACACGGCCCAAACUCCUACGGGAGGCAGCAGUGGGGAAUAUUGGACAAUGGGCGCAAGCCUGAUCCAGCCAUGCCGCGUGGAUGAUGAAGGCCUUAGGGUUGUAAAGUCCUUUUAACGGGGAAGAUAAUGACGGUACCCGUAGAAUAAGCCCCGGCUAACUUCGUGCCAGCAGCCGC
rnacentral:rRNA from 1 species